rnacentral:rRNA from 1 species
GCUGAGGAGCGAAAGCUUGGGGACCGAACAGGAUUAGAUACCCUGGUAGUCCACGCCGUAAACGGUGGGUGCUAGUUGUGGGCCACAUUCCACGUGGUCCGUGACGAAGUUAACACAUUAUGCACCCCGCCUGGGGAGUACGGUCGCAAGACUAAAACUCAAAGGAAUUGACGGGGGCCCGCACAAGCGGCGGAGCAUGCGGAUUAAUUCGAUGCAACGCGAAGAACCUUACCAAGGCUUGACAUAUAGAGGAAACGUGCAGAAAUGUACGCCCCGCAAGGUCUCUAUACAGGUGGUGCAUGGUUGUCGUCAGCUCGUGUCGUGAGAUGUUGGGUUAAGUCCCGCAACGAGCGCAACCCUCGUCCUAUGUUGCCAGCACGUAAUGGUGGGAACUCAUGGGAGACUGCCGGGGUCAACUCGGAGGAAGGUGGGGAUGACGUCAAAUCAUCAUGCCCCUUAUGUCUUGGGCUUCACGCAUGCUACAAUGGCCAGUACAAAGGGCUGCAAUACCGUAAGGUGGAGCGAAUCCCAAAAAGCUGGUCUCAGUUCGGAUUGAGGUCUGCAACUCGACCUCAUGAAGUCGGAGUCGCUAGUAAUCGCAGACCAGCAACGCUGCGGUGAAUACGUUCCCGGGCCUUGUACACACCGCCCGUCAAGUCACGAAAGUCGGUAACACCCGAAGCCG